rnacentral:rRNA from 1 species
AUUUGGGAAUUAAUAAAUUUAUAUUUAAUAAAAAUAAUUUUAAUUUAAUAAAUAUUUUAAUGGGGGUUAAAGUAUUUUUUAAAGAAAAAAUUUUUAAUUUUAUAGUAUAAUAGUAUUGUGUAAGAAUUUUGAAAUAAUUGAAAAUUUAAUUUUAAUAAAGUAAUUUUUAUUUGAUGUAUCUUGUGUAUCAGAGUUUAUUAAAAUUUUUAAUUUUUAAAUUAAUUUCUCGAAUUUAAAAGAGUUAAAUAAUUAUUAAAUUUAUUGUUGCAAAAAUAUUUUAAAUAAUUAUUUAGAAAUGAAAUGUUAAUCGUUUUUAAAUAUAUCUAGUUUUUAUAGAAAAAAUUUUAAUUUUAAAUUUAAUUUUAUUAUUAAUUAAUUAAUUAAUUAAAUAAUUAUUUAAAUUUUAUAUUUUAAGGGAUAAGCUUUAAAUUAAAUUUUUAUAAUAAAAAAUAUUUAUUUUUGAAAAUUUUAUAAUUUAUAUUGUUAAUAAAUUUUAUUUUAUUAUAAAUAAUUUCAUUUUAUUAAAAAAUUUAAAUUUUUAUUUAAUUUUUUAUAUAAAAUUUAUUUUUAAUUAUUAAAAAUUAAUUAUAAUGAUAAAAUUAGUAUAUUAUAUUUAAAAAAUUAUUUUUAAUUUGAAUUUUAUUAUUUAAUUUAAUUAAUUAAAAGGAAUUCGGCAAAUAUUUAUUUUCACUUGUUUAUCAAAAACAUGUCUUUUUGUUGAUUUAUUUAAAGUCUAAUCUGCCCACUGAUUUUAAUUGAAGGGCUGCAGUAUUUUGACUGUACAAAGGUAGCAUAAUCAUUAGUCUCUUAAUUGGUGACUUGUAUGAAAGAUUGGAUGAGAAAUAUACUGUCUCUUAAUUAAUGUGUAGAAUUUAAUUUUUUAUUUAAAAAGUUAAAAUAAAUUAAAAAGACGAGAAGACCCUAUAGAGUUUAAUAAAUUUUUUUAUGAUAAUUUUAUUUGUAUUAAAUUGAAAUAAUUUUAUAAAUUUAUUUAUUUUAUUGGGGUGAUAGAAAAAUAAAUUUAACUUUUUUUAAAGAAUUUAACAAAAAUAUAUGAUUAAAUGAUCCAGUUUAUUAUUGAUUAAAAGAUUAAAUUACCUUAGGGAUAACAGCGUAAUUUUUUUUUUUAGUUCGAAUAAUAAAAAAAGUUUGCGACCUCGAUGUUGGAUUAAGAUAAAAUUUAAAUGUAAAAGUUUAAAAUUUUGAUCUG